GACGAACGCUGGCGGCGUGCUUAACACAUGCAAGUCGAGCGGUAAGGCCCUUUCGGGGGUACACGAGCGGCGAACGGGUGAGUAACACGUGGGUGACCUGCCCUCAGCUCUGGGAUAAGCCUGGGAAACCGGGUCUAAUACUGGAUAUGACUCCAUGACGCAUGUUGGUGGGGUGGAAAGCCUUGUGCGGCUGAGGAUGGGCCCGCGGCCUAUCAGCUUGUUGGUGGGGUGAGGCCUACCAAGGCGACGACGGGUAGCCGGCCUGAGAGGGCGACCGGCCACACUGGGACUGAGACACGGCCCAGACUCCUACGGGAGGCAGCAGUGGGGAAUCUUGCGCAAUGGGCGAAAGCCUGACGCAGCGACGCCGCGUGAGGGAUGAC
rnacentral:rRNA from 1 species